UACAGAGGGGGCGAGCGUUGUUCGGAAUUACUGGGCGUAAAGGGCGCGUAGGCGGCCCGCUAAGUCGAACGUGAAAUCCCCGGGCUCAACCCGGGAACUGCGUCCGAUACUGGCAGGCUUGAAUCCGGGAGAGGGAUGUGGAAUUCCAGGUGUAGCGGUGAAAUGCGUAGAUAUCUGGAGGAACACCGGUGGCGAAGGCGGCAUCCUGGACCAACACUGACACUGAUGAGCGAAAGCCAGGGGAGCAAACGGG
rnacentral:rRNA from 1 species